rnacentral:misc_RNA from 1 species
AUGCGAUAAGUAAUGUGAAUUGCAGAAUUCAGUGAAUCAUCGAAUCUUUGAACGCACAUUGCGCCCCCUGGUAUUCCGGGGGGCAUGCCUGUCCGAGCGUCAUUACUGCCCUCAAGCGCGGCUUGUGUGUUGGGCCCUCGCCCCCCUCCGGGGAGGGCGUGCCCGAAAGGCAGUGGCGGCGCCGUGCCCGGUCCUCGAGCGUAUGGGGCUUCGUCACCCGCUCUGGAGGCCCGGCCGGCCGACCGCCGACCCAACCCCAUCUUCUUUACCGGUUGACCUCGGAUCAGGCAGGGAUACCCGCUGAACUUAA